GGGACCGAGGGUGGCACGAGCCGGUGGCAACUCGGGGUCAAUCGUGGGCAUCACAAGAUUCGUCCAGGUUUGCAUCUCCUUCCCCUUUCUAUCUUUUCCUCUCUGUCUCCCUCUCUUUGCUCUGGCUCUUUUUUCUCAUGGCUGCAAGUAACGGAGGAGGAGGAAAUGAUGUGAGUGGAGGAGCCUGCUCGUUAUGGCCGUUCUUUUGGUCAAUUUCAAGGCUGAAAUUAUGUGUUCGAUGAAAAGGCAAGUGGACUGCAAGUAUUCAUGAGGAGGAGAAACAAGAGAGGGGAGUGGUGCUGAAAUCUGGAGGAGGGAGCUCGAGAAGCGCCGCAGGGACGGAGGUGGAGGAUCAGGGAGCGGCUGUACUGGCCUAGCGAACCAGAGGGCGUCGAUGCUGACCUGAUACACCACUGAAUCUGUCUACAAUUUCUCCUCUCCAGGUUCCUUGCAAGGGCAAAGGGCUGUUGGUUGUCCAGAUUUGAGUGUGAGUGGUCAGAUGGUGCAAGAGGUUCGACUUAACUAGAUUUUGUGUGUGGUGCUAGGGGCAAGGAUUGGGGCGCGCUUUCAGCUACAUGUUGGGAUAGAGAAAGAACACUCCAUGCAUAAUUGAUGGUGCCUUUUGUUUUGCACAUACCAACAAUUAGGAUAUCAUGGUUAGUCGACCCAGUUUCAUCCUAGAGAAGGAAAAGGAUAAAGGACAUGCUCUGGCCUUAUAGAAUCUGGUAUCCAACCAAGGUAUUUUACCUAUCCCUAUAAGAAGCCCGACCUGGAAAAUUGGUAUUGUCUGUAACCUCAAUUGUUAAAAAUUGAGCCAGUGUACGAAGACUCGAGAGCCUAACCAAGAGGACCAAGAGGAUGUUGUGGAAGAUGAGCUGAGAACUGAAGGCAUCGUUAGUGCGAACGACGAUCGAUAGAUCUCGAGACAGAAGCCAACAAAGCUGGUACUGACGAGGGCAUGCAGGAACCGUGUUUCGCUACAUCAUAUCUUGCUUGAUGGAACUUUGCAUGCACACUGACCAUGGAACUCACUCAUGAUAACCCAUGGUGGAAGUUAAAUGUGUGCAUAUGAUGUUUAUAUACAUCGAAAGCUCCAGGGUCCACCUUCAGUCAUUAUCUUUUCCCUGAAUUUCAGUUUCUGGAAAUCUUCAAAAAGAAUUGGCAUCGAGAUGGCUUGUGCCGUGAUCUCCGACUUGCUGCCUGCUCCCAUUGGUCAAGUGCUUAUGUGGAAGUGCCAUACUCACAUGACACCUGAAGAUGCUGCACCACAUCUAGAGAUAAGCUAUGCCCAUUUUCAAGCGACGAAAGUGGUAUCAGGGAACAACCGAGUGAGGGCGGAAGCUGGAUUGUAGUUCUCACCGGUUAGCCCAAAUAUUCAUCUUCGGGCUUACAAUUGGACGUGCCAUGGACUGUAAAUAUUUUUCAGGAAUAACUAGGCUACAAUACUCUUCUGCAAAAAAUACAAUUAGAAGUUGAAUUAGUCAAAAUUUCAUUGUACGAAGGCAUAGCUUGAGAUAUAAGAGGCGUCACAGUGGCUCAAACACAAAAACAUAUUGCCCAGGACAGAAAAAAGAAUUGUCCACUAUGAAACUAUUAAGAAACUAAAUGUACUGAUAUGACCUUGUCAUCUAUUAAGAUGUAUAUGUGCCUGCUAAAAAUGUACUUGUGAAGUUAGCUUAUGGCUACUAAGAAUAGCACAACGUGGCAUAGAAGCCUGUUAGUCUGAUGUGUCUGAAUUAGUCUGAUGUUUAUGGCUACAAUUACACGUGCCAUGGACUAUAAAUUUAUAUUUGUCCGGUUAAUUAGUCUGAUGUGUCUGAAUUUUGAAUUUUGCAGCUACCUAGAAGAUUGCUGAUGGUCCCUCAAGCAAGGACUGGAGAGGUGGAAGUGAUGCUAGC